ensembl:snRNA U2 U2 spliceosomal RNA
AUCACUUCUAGGCCUUUUGGCUAAGAUCAAGUGUAGUAUCUGUUCUCAUCAGUUGAAAGUGAAUGGUAGAAACUAACUUUCCCUCAUCAUCUGAAGUAACAAUUUUCCAACAACUUCU